UACGGAGGAUGCGAGCGUUAUCCGGAUUUAUUGGGUUUAAAGGGUGCGUAGGCGGAGCGUUAAGUCAGUGGUCAAAUUGAGGGGCUCAACCCCUUCCCGCCAUUGAAACUGGCGCUCUUGAGUGGAAGAGAAGUAUGCGGAAUGCGUGGUGUAGCGGUGAAAUGCUUAGAUAUCACGAAGAACUCCGAUUGCGAAGGCAGCUCACUGGACUGCAACUGACACUGAUGCUCGAAAGUGUGGGUAUCAAACAGG
rnacentral:rRNA from 1 species